rnacentral:rRNA from 1 species
AACGAACGCUGGCGGCAGGCCUAACACAUGCAAGUCGAGCGAGACCUUCGGGUCUAGCGGCGGACGGGUGAGUAACGCGUGGGAAUAUGCCCUUUGGUACGGAAUAGCCUCGGGAAACUGAGAGUAAUAUCGUAUGUGCCCUUCGGGGGAAAGAUUUAUCGCCAAAGGAUUAGCCCGCGUUGGAUUAGGUAGUUGGUGGGGUAAUGGCCUACCAAGCCUACGAUGCAUAGCUGGUUUGAGAGGAUGAUCAGCCACACUGGGACUGAGACACGGCCCAGACUCCUACGGGAGGCAGCAGUGGGGAAUCUUAGACAAUGGGGGCAACCCUGAUCUAGCCAUGCCGCGUGAGUGAUGAAGGCCUUAGGGUUGUAAAGCUCUUUCAGCUGGGAAGAUAAUGACGGUACCAGCAGAAGAAGCCCCGGCUAACUCCGUGCCAGCCGCCGCAGUAAGAC